UACGUAGGGUGCAAGCGUUGUCCGGAAUUAUUGGGCGUAAAGAGCUCGUAGGCGGCUUGUCGCGUCGUCCGUGAAAACCUGCAGCUCAACUGCAGGCUUGCGGUCGAUACGGGCAGGCUAGAGUUCGGUAGGGGAGACUGGAAUUUACGGUGUAGCAGUGAAAUGCGUAGAGAUCGUAAGGAAGACCAGUGGCGAAGGCGGGUCUCUGGACAGUUCCUGACACUGAGGCACGAAGGCCAGGGGAGCAAACGGG
rnacentral:rRNA from 1 species